AUCAUUGUGUUAAUAAUUUCAUGACUUUCUUAUGUCAUCUUGAUACGCAUGCUGCUAUUUUUUCCCUAUACAAUACUUUGCCUCGUUUAAGAAAUUAGUGAGAGAUAUGAUUUUAGAACAUAUCAUAGAUUUUUAGGAGGUUGAGCUGGUUAGUGCUAGGAUCAUGUCAAAUCCUCAUAUGUGUUAUUUAUUGCUAUAUGGCAUUAUGAUUUUUUAUAUGACUGAUUUUAAUGUAAUAGAUUCAUGUAAUGUACAUGAGUGUAUAAUUAAUUUCUUACAUGCAGUACUUGUGAGUAUGUGUCUGUUAUGUGCCAUUAAGGAAAUCAUUUACUGUGUAAAUGGACACUUGUUGAUUCUUUGAAAGGAAUUAAAACAUUAUAAA
rnacentral:sRNA from 1 species